AACGAACGCUGGCGGCAGGCUUAACACAUGCAAGUCGAACGGGUGCAGCAAUGCAUCAGUGGCAGACGGGUGAGUAACACGUGGGAACCUUCCUAGGGGUACGGAACAACUCAGGGAAACUUGAGCUAAUACCGUAUACGUCCGUAAGGAGAAAGAUUCAUCGCCCCUAGACGGGCCCGCGUCGGAUUAGGUAGUUGGUGGGGUAACGGGCCUACCAAGCCUGCGAUCCGUAGCUGAUCUGAGGGGAGUGAUCAGCCACACUGGGACUGAGACACGGCCCAGACUCCUACGGGAGGCAGCAGUGGGGAAUCUUGGACAAUGGGCGCAAGCCUGAUCCAGCCAUGCCGCGUGAGUGAAGAAGGCCUUAGGGUUGUAAAGCUCUUUUACCAGGGACGAUAAUGACGGUACCUGGAG
rnacentral:rRNA from 1 species